rnacentral:rRNA from 1 species
AGUGAACGCUGGCGGUAGGCCUAACACAUGCAAGUCGAACGGCAGCACAGUAAGAGCUUGCUCUUACGGGUGGCGAGUGGCGGACGGGUGAGGAAUACAUCGGAAUCUACUUUUUCGUGGGGGAUAACGUAGGGAAACUUACGCUAAUACCGCAUACGACCUACGGGUGAAAGCAGGGGAUCUUCGGACCUUGCGCGAUUGAAUGAGCCGAUGUCGGAUUAGCUAGUUGGCGGGGUAAAGGCCCACCAAGGCGACGAUCCGUAGCUGGUCUGAGAGGAUGGGCAGCCACACGGGGAGUGAGAGACGGAGCAGACGCCGACGGGACCACGCAGGGGGGAAGAUUGGACAAGGGGGGCAAGCCUGAUCCAGACAUACCGCGGGGGUGAAGAAGGCCUUCGUGUUCGAAUGCCCUUUUGUGGACAAAAAAAAGCAGCAGGCUAAUACCCCGAUGUUCCGACGGUACACAAAGAAUGAGCACUGGCGAACUUCGUG